GCAGGGGGAGCAAGAUGAAGUCACAGACCCAGGUCCUCACAUCCCUGCUGCUAUGGGUAUCUGGUGCCUGUGCAGACAUUGUCAUGACUCAGUCUCCAUCCUCCCUGGCUGUGUCAGCAGGAGAGAAGGUCUCCAUCAGCUGCAGGUCCAGUCAGAGCCUUUAUCACAGCAGCAGCAAAAAGAACUUAUUGGCCUGGUACCAGCAGAAAUCAGGGCAAUCCCCUAAGCUUCUGAUCUACUGGGCAUCCACUCGGGACACUGGGGUCCCUGAUCGCUUCACAGGCAGUGGAUCUGGGACGGAUUUCACUCUCACAAUCAGCAGUGUGCAGGCUGAAGACCUGGCAGUUUAUUACUGUCAGCAGGGUUACAGCUAUCCUCCCACAGUGCUUCAGCCUCCAACACAAACCUCACCAGCUGCCUACAGCACACACAGUCCUGGCCCUGCACACUUCCCCCUUUUCAGUGAUAGAGGGUGUGGCUGA